rnacentral:rRNA from 1 species
AAUGAACGCUGGCGGUAGGCCUAACACAUGCAAGUCGAACGGCAGCACAGUAAGAGCUUGCUCUUACGGGUGGCGAGUGGCGGACGGGUGAGGAAUACAUCGGAAUCUACUUUUUCGUGGGGGAUAACGUAGGGAAACUUACGCUAAUACAGCAUACGACCUACGGGUGAAAGCAGGGGAUCUUCGGACCUUGCGCGAUUGAAUGAGCCGAUGUCGGAUUAGCUAGUUGGCGGGGUAAAGGCCUAACAAGGCGACGAUCCGUAGCUGGUCUGAGAGGAUGAUCCGCCACACUGGAACUGAGACACGGUCCAGACUCCUACGGGAGGCAGCAGUGGGGAAUAUUGGACAAGGGGCGAAAGCCUGAUACAGCCAUACCGCGUGAGUGAAGAAGGCCUUCGGGUUGUAAAGCCCUUUUGUUGGGAAAGAAAAGAAGCAGGUUAAUACCCCGCUGUUCUGACGGUACCCAAAGAAUAAGCACCGGCUAACUUCGUG